rnacentral:rRNA from 1 species
GAUGAACGCUGGCGGCGUGCCUAAUACAUGCAAGUCGAGCGAACGGACGAGAAGCUUGCUUCUCUGAUGUUAGCGGCGGACGUGUGAGUAACACGUGGAUAACCUACCUAUAAGACUGGUAUAACUUCGGGAAACCGGAGCUAAUACCGGAUAAUAUUUUGAACCGCAUGGUUCAAAAGUGAAAGACGGUCUUGCUGUCACUUAUAGAGGGAUCCGCGCUGCAUUAGCUAGUUGGUAAGGUAACGGCUUAUCAAGGCAACGAUGCAUAGCCGACCUGUGAGAGUGAUAGGCCACACUGGAACUGAGCCACGGUCCAGACUCCUACGGGAGGCAGCAGUAGGGAAUGUUCCGCAGUGGGCGAAAGCAUGACGGAGCAACGCCGAGUGAGUGAUGACAGUCUUCGGAUCGUAAAACUCUGUUAUUAGGGAAGAACAUAUGUGUAAGUAAAUGUGCACAUCUUGACGGUAACUAAUCAGAAAGCCACGGCUAACUACGUG